UACGUAGGGGGCUAGCGUUGUCCGGAAUCAUUGGGCGUAAAGCGCGUGUAGGCGGUUCGGUAAGUCCGCUGUGAAAGUCGGGGGCUCAACCCUCGGAAGCCGGUGGAUACUGUCGGGCUAGAGUACGGAAGAGGCGAGUGGAAUUCCUGGUGUAGCGGUGAAAUGCGCAGAUAUCAGGAGGAACACCAAUUGCGAAGGCAGCUCGCUGGGACGUUACUGACGCUGAGACGCGAAAGCGUGGGGAGCGAACAGG
rnacentral:rRNA from 1 species